rnacentral:lncRNA from 1 species
GGGAGGACAAGCAUAAGUGAGAUGAAUAAGGUGACUUUAGCCUUGUCUGUUUUCCCCUGUGUUGUCCUGCUGUUCAGGCGUGUGUUUGUAGAAGUGGCUCUUAAUCAGUGUGGAAGGGAGUAGAGGCCAUCCCGUUGCUCUGUAUCAUAUUUCCCUUUCCUUACCCCCAGCCCCUGUCCCUGCCUUACCCAGCAAGCUUCCCACGUUUGGAGCCCCGGAACAGUUAGUGGAUUUAAAACAAGCUGGCUUGGAGGCUGCAGCCAAAGCCACCAGCUCACAUCCGAACUCAACAUCUCUCAAGGCCAAGGUGCUGGAGACCUUCCUGGCCAAGUCCAGACCUGAGCUCCUGGAGUAUUACAUUAAAGUCAUCCUGGACUACAACACCGCCCACAACAAAGUGGCUCUGUCAGAGUGCUAUACAGUAGCUUCUGUGGCUGAGAUGCCUCAGAACUACCGGCCGCAUCCCCAGAG